GACGAACGCUGGCGGCGUGCCUAAUACAUGCAAGUCGAGCGAACCAAUGGGAGCUUGCUCCCUGAGGUUAGCGGCGGACGGGUGAGUAACACGUGGGUAACCUGCCUGUGAGAUUGGGAUAACUCCGGGAAACCGGAGCUAAUACCGGAUAAUAUUUUGAACCGCAUGGUUCAAAAUUGAAAGACGGCUUCGGCUGUCACUUACAGAUGGACCCGCGGCGCAUUAGCUAGUUGGUGAGGUAACGGCUCACCAAGGCGACGAUGCGUAGCCGACCUGAGAGGGUGAUCGGCCACACUGGGACUGAGACACGGCCCAGACUCCUACGUGAGGCAGCAGUAGGGAAUCUUCCGCAAUGGACGAAAGUCUGACGGAGCAACGCCGCGUGAACGAUGAAGGCCUUCGGGUCGUAAAGUUCUGUUGUUAGGGAAGAACAAGUACCAGAGUAACUGCUGGUACCUUGACGGUACCUAACCAGAAAGCCACGGCUAACUACGUG
rnacentral:rRNA from 1 species